CCUACGGGCGGCUGCAGUGGGGAAUAUUGCACAAUGGGCGCAAGCCUGAUGCAGCCAUGCCGCGUGUGUGAAGAAGGCCUUCGGGUUGUAAAGCACUUUCAGCGGGGAGGAAGGCGUUAAGGUUAAUAACCUUGUCGAUUGACGUUACCCGCAGAAGAAGCACCGGCUAACUCCGUGCCAGCAGCCGCGGUAAUACGGAGGGUGCAAGCGUUAAUCGGAAUUACUGGGCGUAAAGCGCACGCAGGCGGUCUGUCAAGUCGGAUGUGAAAUCCCCGGGCUCGACCUGGGAACUGCAUUCGAAACUGGCAGGCUAGAGUCUUGUAGAGGGGGGUAGAAUUCCAGGUGUAGCGGUGAAAUGCGUAGAGAUCUGGAGGAAUACCGGUGGCGAAGGCGGCCCCCUGGACAAAGACUGACGCUCAGGUGCGAAAGCGUGGGGAGCAAACAGGAUUAGAUACCCGGGUAGUC
rnacentral:rRNA from 1 species